rnacentral:tRNA from 1 species
AAUUUAUAUAGUUUAAUAAAAACAUUACAUUUUCAUUGUAAAAAUAAAAUAAUUUUUUUUAUAAAUUAC